UCUUACCCUAUUUAAGACAAACUAGCUUCAUUUGCAUUUCACAUUCAACAAGUUCUCCAACUAGUUCUCUUUUAUUCUUUGAAACAAGUCUCCUCCUAUAUGGCUCUUCAAUUCCUUUCAAUUCGAACCAUCUUUCUCUUCCUUCUCGUUUUGGUGGCCACAGAGAUGGGGUCAAUUAUGGUGGUAGAGGCAAGGAAAUGUUUGUCUCAAAGUCACAGUUUUAAAGGACUAUGUUUAAGUGAUCAAAAUUGUGCUACUGUGUGCUUAACAGAGGGUUUCACAGAUGGACGUUGUCGUGGCUUCCGUCAGAGAUGUUUUUGCUCUAAACCUUGUUUAAAAGUUUGAGAAUAUUCCAUGAGAGAUUAUGAUUCCAUCACCUUUUGUAAUUGCUUUUAAUUUGCAAUAAUAUGGAUGAGAUGUUUUAAUUUGUACAA